ensembl:lncRNA
AUGUGUAUUAUUCUAUGUUUUUUAUUUUUAUUUUUAGAGGGUGGAACAAUUCCAAACUGCAAUGAACUAAACCUUAAAGAGAAAUCAAUUAAAAAAGCCACUGAUGUUGAGAAGAUAUUGCUCAGUCUCCCGCCGUUUAUUGAAUCCUUCCCUCUUUGGACUGACUAUGACGGGACUACACCUGAUUGCAGUUUCAACAUCAAUCCAGAGGAAACAUUUGCCCAAAUGAAUGAGAAAGUGGAAAAGUAUUCUCAUUUGAUUGUAACUCCACCACUACAACUCAAGGCUGUUGGAAUUGAAGGACCAUGCUUGGUUCUCCUCAGUCAUGAAAAAUUUGGUAUGUACAUCUAUAAAGAUAAAUUGACUCCACAAAAUAUUAUUGUUUUCGACCCUCUUGCUGGAAAAAACAUCACAGUGAACAUAGAUGAGCUAGCUAAUAAACUGAGAGAUGUUGGAGAUGAUCUAACAUUCAAAGUCACUAAGACUCCAAAAGAAGCUAUUGUGGUAUGUUUACUAUUGUACAGAAAUGUUAUAAAUAAGAAGUGUCCAUAAAUAAUUGGAUUUAAUGAAAUCUGUGGGGCAUUUUUUUUUUUUUUAAAGGUGC